UGGGGAAUUUUUCGCAAUGGGGGAAACCCUGACGAAGCAACGCCGCGUGGAGGAUGAAGGCCUUCGGGUCGUAAACUCCUGUCGACCGGGAAGAAUGCACCUGACCUAAUACGUCAAAGUGUUGACUGUACCGGUGGAGGAAGCCACGGCUAACUCUGUGCCAGCAGCCGCGGUAAUACAGAGGUGGCAAGCGUUGUUCGGAAUUACUGGGCGUAAAGGGCGCGUAGGCGGCCCGUCAAGUCCCGUGUGAAAGCCCCCGGCUCAACCGGGGAACGGCGCGGGAAACUAGCAGGCUUGAGUUCGGGAGAGGGAAGCGGAAUUCCGGGUGUAGCGGUGAAAUGCGCAGAUAUCCGGAGGAACACCGGUGGCGAAGGCGGCUUCCUGGACCGACACUGACGCUGAGGCGCGAAAGCUAGGGGAGCAAACGGG
rnacentral:rRNA from 1 species